AAAAAACACACAUACGAGGAAAGAACCCACCAGGAAUUGCCCCAGUACCGGCGAGUGAAGCGGCAACAGCUCAAAUUUGAAAUCUGGCCNCCCCCCGCGNGGGUCCGAGUUGUAGUUUGCAGAGGGCGCCUCGGCGGCCCCGUGCGCGGCAAGUCCCCUGGAACGGGGCGUCAGAGAGGGUGAGAGCCCCGUAAGACGAGCGCACGGCAAGCCAUGUGAGGCCCCUUCGACGAGUCGAGUUGUUUGGGAAUGCAGCUCUAAACGGGAGGUAAAUUUCUUCCAAGGCUAAAUACCGGCUGGAGACCGAUAGCGCACAAGUAGAGUGAUCGAAAGAUGAAAAGCACUUUGAAAAGAGAGUCAAACAGCGCGUGAAAUUGUUGAAAGGGAAGCGCUUGCUGCCAGACUCGGCCGCCGGGGCUCGCGCGGGGGUGCGCCCCCGCCUGCUCCCCGGCGGCCGGGCCAGCGUCGGUUGGGUCGGCCGGACAAGGGCCGCAGGAACGUAGUUCCCCCCGGGGAAUGUUAUAGCCUGCGGCGCGAUGCGGCCAGACCCGACCGAGGACCGCGCUUCGGCUCGGACGCUGGCGUAAUGGCCGUAAGCGGCCCGUCUUGAAACACGGACCAAGGAGUCUAACAGCCGUGCGAGUGUUUGGGUGUCAAACCCGGGCGCGCAAUGAAAGUGAACGGAGGUGGGAGCCCAUCCGGGCGCACCAUCGACCGAUCCUGAUCUCCUGGGAUGGAUUUGAGUAGGAGCACGGCUGUUGGGACCCGAAAGAUGGUGAACUAUGCCUAAACAGGGCGAAGCCAGAGGAAACUCUGGUGGAGGCUCGCAGCGGUUCUGACGUGCAAAUCGAUCGUCAAAUUUGGGUAUAGGGGCGAAAGACUAAUCGAACMUCUAUANNCUGUCGGGUCGC
rnacentral:rRNA from 1 species